GAUGAAUAGUCAUAUAUGCACCAGCCUUUUCUACAUUCAAUGCUUCCUACUCAAUCCAUAAGUAUUUCUUACAUUUAAGGCUUUCUUACAUUAAAUAUUCAGAGUGAUUCCUUAAAGCAGGGCCAAUAAAAGUGCAGAACUGCAUUCACCAAACAACAUGAAAACUUCAUUCUACUAAAUAAAUUUUGUCUGUUAAACAAAGAGUAAAUGUUCAUAUCAUGCCCCAUUUGCUUUGGAAAUAAAUUGUGUGAUACAACGCUGAACUUCCUUUUUCUACUUCACUGAUCCAAUGCCCAUUUCCACCAACCUAUUGGAAUCAAAAUAAACACAAGAAAUUCAAAUCUGUAGAACGCAGUCUGCAGCAAGUGUAUUUAAAAAAAUAAAUAAAUAAAAAGAGAUAUUUGAUCAAAAGUAAGCAAACAUAAAUUGAUUAUAGCAUUGGGCUUACAUAAGAAAGGCAAAGAAGCUACCUCUCUUACGGAAAAAUGGAGUAAACAGAGAAAUUUGUUGUUGAGGAGUGUUGAAUUGCACUCUGCAAAUUGACUCCUCCUCAUCCUCGUCAGAGCUGCAAGCACUUAGUAGUUAAGGAGUGUUCAUGUGUUUUCUGCAAAUUCUCUUGGGACUGGUGUACCUCAAUACCUCUUCAUCAGAUCUUCCAACACUUGCAGAAGUUCCACUACUCGUGCCUGCCAUAUCAAUAAAGUCAUUAUGAAAUUUCCGAUGUUGAGUGCAUUUUUCUUCAUUUCUGGGUUUGGCCCGGUUGAGAUUUCCAUUUCACUGGACUCACCCACAGCAUUACACCUAUGACCUUUCAGGUCAAUGAAGAAGUCAAAUGAAACAGCAGUAUGGUUGUGCCGCCAUCCGGUGGCCCGAUACAGCAACAGGAAUCAAAUCCAAGUAUGACAUGUUCCGAUUGAUGGUCAGGUAGCCAACCAACAAGAAAGAGUGAUCAAAACUGUAUUCACACAUGACGCUGGUAUAUGACUAACCGCCACAGUUUCAAUAAUUGCACAAAGAACAAAUCCAGCUUUUGUCACAACUACGCUGAGGCAGUUGAUAGUUAUUGAAGAUCCUAAAGCCUGAUUACUGAUCCGUCCGGGAAUUUCACUUACAGGUAAAAAAAUGCUGAUACCAUGCAGUUUCUGCAUUAUAAUUAAGGCUGGAUAAAUUUGUGGAAAUACAAGUGUUGUGAGUUAAUGGCAACACUAACAACCACUUAAAUUAUAAAGUUUUCGGUCAGAGCAUAAGUUUCACUUCUCAUAAUCUCUAAAUUUUUCCUUCCUAUAAGUCAUAUAUUUAAAAAUAUAUAUAUAUAUAUUAAUAAG
rnacentral:lncRNA from 1 species